UCUUCCUGCUCGGCUGCUGCCGCCGCCGGCAGUGCCGGGGCUCAGGGGGAAGAGGAGCCUGAGGAGACCCCGAGCAAGGAGGAGAAGCAGGAGCCAGGCACGCCCAUGAGGAAGGCCGGGCGGCCCGGGAGGAAGCGCAAGCAUGCCCAGCAGGCGGAGAGCAGUGACACCCCUCCCAAGGGU